rnacentral:rRNA from 1 species
AACGAACGCUGGCGGCAUGCCUAACACAUGCAAGUCGAACGAGACCUUCGGGUCUAGUUGCGCACGGGUGCGUAACGCGUGGGAACCUGCCCUUAGGUUCGGAAUAACUCCCCGAAAGGGGUGCUAAUACCAGUUAAUGUCUUCGGACCAAAGAUUUAUCGCCUUUGGAUGGGCCCUCGUUGGAUUAGCUAGUUGGUAGGGUAAAAGCCUACCAAGGCGACGAUCCAUAGCUGGUCGGAGAGGAUGAUCAGCCACACUGGGACUGAGACACGGCCCAGACUCCUACGGGAGGCAGCAGUGGGGAAUAUUGGACAAUGGGCGAAAGUCUGAUCCAGCAAUGCCGGGGGAGUGAUGAAGGCCUUAGGGUUGUAAAGCUCUUUUACCCGGGAUGAUAAUGACAGUACCGGGAGAAUAAGCUCCGGCUAACUACGUG